UGGGGAAUAUUGGACAAUGGGGGCAACCCUGAUCCAGCCAUGCCGCGUGAGUGAUGAAGGCCUUAGGGUUGUAAAGCUCUUUCACCCGGGACGAUAAUGACGGUACCGGGAGAAGAAGCCCCGGCUAACUUCGUGCCAGCAGCCGCGGUAAUACGAAGGGGGCUAGCGUUGUUCGGAAUCACUGGGCGUAAAGCGCACGUAGGCGGACCGUUAAGUCGGAGUGAAAUCCUGGGGCUCAACCCCAGAACUGCCUUCGAUACUGGCGGUCUCGAGUCCGGAAGAGGUGAGUGGAACUGCCAGUGUAGAGGUGAAAUUCGUAGAUAUUGGCAAGAACACCAGUGGCGAAGGCGGCUCACUGGUCCGGUACUGACGCUGAGGUGCGAAAGCGUGGGGAGCAAAACAGGAUUAGGAUACCCUGGUAGUCCACGCCCGUAAACGAUGAAUGCCAGCCGUCGGGCAGCAUGCUGUUCGGUGGCGCAGCUAACGCUUUAAGCAUCCGCCUGGGGAGUACGGUCGCAAGAUUAAAACUCAAAGGAAUUGAC
rnacentral:rRNA from 1 species